GAUAAGAAGGAUGAAAUUAGUCCUCCCUUGAGGCUGAAAAGUGGGUUUUGUCUGUCAUCUCUUGUGGAAUUGCAGAGAUCAGGAGGACUUUAAAGCACAGUCUGUUGAUUUCAGAGGAACUUGGUUGACCUGAAACAGCAUGAUCUGAACUACAGCCAGUGACAUAUUAAAAGCUCCUUUUUAUUUGCUGCAUUAGAGGAUAGAAUUAUUUUUAUGUUUUCAGAGCACUUCUGUUAAAUAAGCUCCAAGACUUGCUUUUUUCAUUUUUGCAUAGCUUAAUGUUGGCUGCUUAGGGUUUUUUAAUGUAUUUAUUUUAGGUACAUGGAUGUUGAGCAAUAUUAAGUUGAGCCAUGGUUUGGUAAGAUCUCAAAAACUUUAGGACUUUAGAAUUUGCUGAAGGAAUAAUUUUGUUCCAGUUUUGAUGCUAUCACUUUCACUUAAAUCAGAGCCAGAUGAACUUUGGAACUAGUUGUACCAUUUCUGAGUUGUUCAGGACUUUUAUGAAAUAUAGCAUUGCACAGUGGCCAGUCUACCUGCAUCCACCAAUCCAGAAUAUAAAAUUUGUUGUUUUUAUUGCUACUACUGUCCUUAGGAUUAUAAACACUGCAAGUGCAAUGCUACAGAUUUCAGAACUUUGAUGUAAUUUCAAGUUGUGUUUAAAUAUGGGAGGGAACUACUAAAAAUGAAACAUUAAAGUUAGAUAAAAAUUA